UCCUUCCAGCCCUUUCACCAGCUUGGUUGCCCUCCCCUGGACACAUUCAAGGACCUUCACAUCCUUCUCAGAUUGUGGGGCCCAGAACUGACAGCAGCACUCAAGGUGAGGCCGCACCAACGCUGAAUACAGCGGGAUAAUCCACUCUUUGGCCCGGCUGCUUCUGCUGUCUUUGAUGCAGCCCCGGGUGCUGUUUGCCCUCUUGGCUGCCAGGGCGCGCACACUGCUGGCUCGCACUGAGCCUGCUGUCAGCCAGCGCCCCUGCAUCCCUUUCUGCAGGGAUGCUCUCCAGCCACUCCUCUCCCAGUCUGUUUCAGAGCAGAUGCUCACAAGCAUUAACGUGGUGCACAUGUGUAGCCAGGAGUGGGCUGAUGUGAUCCUCAGUUUAGCUUGAAAAACCUUUGCUGGAAGCCUGGCAAAGGGAAGGGAGGGCCACAGAAAGUCACGACUCCCCUGCGUCGUGUGGAGGGACAGAUGCAUGAAUGUGAUGGUAAAGAUGAAUCUUUGCCAGAAAGAGGAAAGCAGUCUGUAAGGGAGAACUAUGAUCAAUGCCACGUUUGACUUUGGAUGACAAAGUGGCAGCAGGAAAGCAGGCUCUGAGUUAGUCCCUGUUUGCUGAAGAGCGAGAAUCUGAAGAAUGAGGAGCAGGAGUGAUCAGACACUUUUUAAAAAAGAGGAGGAGCUCUCGAGCAGGAGGUGCGUGGUAUUUUCCAAAGUAUUACACUUGGCAAGGCUUGUGAACUCUUUUCACAUGAAUUCUCAUCUUGGCAUCCAAAAAAACCCCUAAAUGUUCCUGCACCUAAUUUCAGAGGAGCCCUGACAUGGGACUGUGAUCAGUGCUACAGAGGACAAGCAGCAACCCCUGGAGGGCACCCUAGGGCCCACACUGGGAGUCCAGAAAGGUUCCUCCCCCCGAAUGCGGGGCACGAGGGCCAUCUUCGUGGAGCAGGAGCAGCAGGCACCUGGCCAGCAUGGCCCAAAGGAGCCCUGGCCAGGGGCCGUGCUCCGUGCUGCAGAGGAAGGCAAAAAACCCCCAGGGACACUGGCUAGCCCACCGUGGGGGAAAAAAAGCCUUCCUCCCCCCAGCUGCAGGGCACGAGAGGCCACCUUCGUGGUGGACGAGCAGCAGGCAGUAACCUGGCCAAAAGGGACCGGAGGAGCCCUGACAAGUGGUCAUGCUCAGUGCUGCAGAGGAAGGCAAAAAACCC